rnacentral:rRNA from 1 species
AUUGAACGCUGGCGGCAGGCUUAACACAUGCAAGUCGAGCGAGCGGCGGACGGGUGAGUAAUGUCUGGGAAACUGCCUGAUGGAGGGGGAAAACAACUGGAAACGGUAGCUAAUACCGCAUACCAUCAGAUGGGCCCAGAUGGGAUUAGCUAGUAGGUGGGGUAAUGGCUCACCUAGGCGAAGAUCCCUAGCUGGUCUGAGAGGAAGACCAUCCCCACUGGAACGGAGACACGUUCCAGACUCCUACGGGAGGCAGCGGUGGGGAUUAUUGACCAAUGGGCGCAAUCCUGAUGCAGCCAUGCCGCGUGUGUGAAGAGGGCCUUCGUGUUGUAAAGCACUUUCAGCGAGGAGGCGUUACUCGCAGAAGAAGCACCGGCUAACUCCGUGCCAGCAGCCGCGGUAAUUC